rnacentral:rRNA from 1 species
UCCGUAGGUGAACCUGCGGAAGGAUCAUUACCGAGUGAGGGCCCUCUGGGUCCAACCUCCCACCCGUGUUUAUUUUACCUUGUUGCUUCGGCGGGCCCGCCUUAACUGGCCGCCGGGGGGCUUACGCCCCCGGGCCCGCGCCCGCCGAAGACACCCUCGAACUCUGUCUGAAGAUUGUAGUCUGAGUGAAAAUAUAAAUUAUUUAAAACUUUCAACAACGGAUCUCUUGGUUCCGGCAUCGAUGAAGAACGCAGCGAAGUGCGAUACGUAAUGUGAAUUGCAAAUUCAGUGAAUCAUCGAGUCUUUGAACGCACAUUGCGCCCCCUGGUAUUCCGGGGGGCAUGCCUGUCCGAGCGUCAUUGCUGCCCUCAAGCACGGCUUGUGUGUUGGGCCCCGUCCUCCGAUCCCGGGGGACGGGCCCGAAAGGCAGCGGCGGCACCGCGUCCGGUCCUCGAGCGUAUGGGGCUUUGUCACCCGCUCUGUAGGCCCGGCCGGCGCUUGCCGAUCAACCCAAAUUUUUAUCCAGGUUGACCUCGGAUCAGGUAGGGAUACCCGCUGAACUUAAGCAUAUCAAUAAGCGGAGGA